rnacentral:rRNA from 1 species
AAAGUUUGUAUUGCUAGCUUGGUGGUUAUAGCAUGAGUGAAACACACGAUCCCC